AGAACGAACGCUGGCGGCAGGCUUAACACAUGCAAGUCGAACGCUCGUAGCAAUACGGGAGUGGCAGACGGGUGAGUAACACGUGGGAACGUACCCUUCGGUUCGGGAUAACACAGGGAAACUUGUGCUAAUACCGGAUACGUCCGAGAGGAGAAAGGUUUACCGCCGAGGGAUCGGCCCGCGUCUGAUUAGCUAGUUGGUGAGGUAACGGCUCACCAAGGCGACGAUCAGUAGCUGGUCUGAGAGGAUGAUCAGCCACAUUGGGACUGAGACACGGCCCAAACUCCUACGGGAGGCAGCAGUGGGGAAUAUUGGACAAUGGGCGCAAGCCUGAUCCAGCCAUGCCGCGUGAGUGAUGACGGCCUUAGGGUUGUAAAGCUCUUUUACCUGGGAAGAUAAUGACGGUACCAGGAGAAUAAGCCCCGGCUAACUUCGUGCCAGCAGCCGC
rnacentral:rRNA from 1 species